rnacentral:rRNA from 1 species
GUAGUCAUAUGCUUGUCUCAAAGAUUAAGCCAUGCAUGUCUAAGUAUAAGCAAUCUAUACGGUGAAACUGCGAAUGGCUCAUUAAAUCAGUUAUCGUUUAUUUGAUAGUACCUUACUACAUGGAUAACCGUGGUAAUUCUAGAGCUAAUACAUGCUAAAAACCCCGACUUCGGAAGGGGUGUAUUUAUUAGAUAAAAAACCAAUGCCCUUCGGGGCUCCUUGGUGAUUCAUAAUAACUUAACGAAUCGCAUGGCCUUGCGCCGGCGAUGGUUCAUUCAAAUUUCUGCCCUAUCAACUUUCGAUGGUAGGAUAGUGGCCUACCAUGGUAUCAACGGGUAACGGGGAAUUAGGGUUCGAUUCCGGAGAGGGAGCCUGAGAAACGGCUACCACAUCCAAGGAAGGCAGCAGGCGCGCAAAUUACCCAAUCCCGACACGGGGAGGUAGUGACAAUAAAUACUGAUACAGGGCUCUUUUGGGUCUUGUAAUUGGAAUGAGUACAAUUUAAAUCCCUUAACGAGGAACAAUUGGAGGGCAAGUCUGGUGCCAGCAGCCGCGGUAAUUCCAGCUCCAAUAGCGUAUAUUAAAGUUGUUGCAGUUAAAAAGCUCGUAGUUGAACCUUGGGCCUGGCUGGCCGGUCCGCCUCACCGCGUGUACUGGUCCGGCCGGGCCUUUCCUUCUGGGGAUCCGCAUGCCCUUCACUGGGUGUGCCGGGGAACCAGGACUUUUACUUUGAAAAAAUUAGAGUGUUCAAAGCAGGCCUUUGCUCGAAUACAUUAGCAUGGAAUAAUAGGAUAGGACGUGCGUCUCUAUUUUGUUGGUUUCUAGGGACGCCGUAAUGAUAAUAGGGACAGU